rnacentral:rRNA from 1 species
CUACCUUCAAAUCGGGGAUAACAUUGCGAAAGCGAUGCUAAUACCGGAUGAUAUCUAAUGGGCUUUGGUUCAUAAGAUCAAGGGGGGCCUCUAUAUAUAAGCUUCCGUUUGAAGAUGAGCCCGCGUACCAUUAGCUAGUUGGUAGGGUAAAAGCCUACCAAGGCAACGAUGGUUAGCUGGUCUGAGAGGAUGAUCAGCCACACUGGAACUGACACACGGUCCAG